CCUACGGGAGGCAGCAGUGAGGAAUAUUGGUCAAUGGGCGGAAGCCUGAACCAGCCAAGUAGCGUGCAGGAUGACGGCCCUACGGGUUGUAAACUUCUUUUAUACGGGAAUAACGCGCCUUACGUGUAGGGCUUUGCAUGUACCGUAUGAAUAAGGACCGGCUAAUUCCGUGCCAGCAGCCGCGGUAAUACGGAAGGUCCGGGCGUUAUCCGGAUUUAUUGGGUUUAAAGGGUGCGUAGGCCGCAUGUCAAGCGUGCUGUGAAAUUUCCGGGCUCAACCCGGGCCUUGCAGUGGGACCUGGCGUGCUUGAGUGCGCGGAAAGCAGGCGGAAUGCGUGGUGUAGCGGUGAAAUGCUUAGAUAUGACGAAGAACUCCGAUUGCGAAGGCAGCUUGCUGGAGCGGAACUGACGCUGAUGCUCGAAAGCGUGGGUAUCGAACAGGAUUAGAUACCCGGGUAGUC
rnacentral:rRNA from 1 species